rnacentral:rRNA from 1 species
AUUGAACGCUGGCGGCAUGCCUUACACAUGCAAGUCGAACGGCAGCACGGGUGCUUGCACCUGGUGGCGAGUGGCGAACGGGUGAGUAAUACAUCGGAACGUACCUUAUCGUGGGGGAUAACGCAGCGAAAGUUGCGCUAAUACCGCAUACGCCCUGAGGGGGAAGGCGGGGGACCGUAAGGCCUCGCGCGAUUAGAGCGGCCGAUGUCUGAUUAGCUUGUUGGUGAGGUAAAAGCUCACCAAGGCGAUGAUCAGUAGCUGGUCUGAGAGGACGAUCAGCCACACUGGGACUGAGACAGGGCCCAGACUCCUACGGGAGGCAGCAGUGGGGAAUUUUGGACAGUGGUGGCAACUCUGAUCCAGCAAUGCCGCGUGAGUGAAGAAGGCCUUCGGGUUGUAAAGCUCUUUUGUCAGGGAAGAAACAGCAGCUCUAACACAGUCUGCGAAUGACGGUACCUGAAGAAUAAGCACCGGCUAACUACGUGCCAGCAGCCGCCGUAA